CGGGAAGUAGCGCAGCCCGGUAGCGUACAUGGCUGGGGGUCAUGUGGUCGCAAGUUCGAAUCUUGUCUUCCCGA
rnacentral:tRNA from 1 species